rnacentral:lncRNA from 10 species
UUGUUUUGCCUUUCUCACCCCGAGCACCAUACAGGGCACAUGUCUAACUCAUGCACAUGACCUUGGAUAAGUUAUAAAGCAUCGAGAUGUUGCUGUUUUCUCAUUUUUAAAAUGGCAACGAUCAUAUCAACUAUAUUUUAUGGUGAUGGGAAUCCAACAGGAUGAUAUGUUUUAAACACUCAGCACAGUGCCUAGCAGAAAGCCUGUGCUCGGUGAAGGGUGCCUUAACCAUUGUCCGCAUCCUGGCAGCAGCAGGCACUCACGAAGGCUGAUAUGCACCUCAUUAAACAAAUCAGUUGCUUCUCCAGUGACUGCCAGCUCAGCAGCAUCAGGAACUAAAAGUUUCUUUGCACCGCCAGGGAUGGAGAGGAUCUGGACAGCCAAGGAGACGGCAGCAGCCAGCCUGAUACGAUUUCCAUCGCCUCACGGACGUCUCAGAACACGCUGGACAGCGAUAAGCUCUCUGGUGGCUGUGAGCUGACAGUGGUGAUCCAUGACUUCACCGCUUGCAACAGCAACGAGCUGACCAUCCGACGGGGCCAGACCGUGGAAGUUCUGGAGCGGCCGCAUGACAAGCCUGACUGGU